UUAACAAUCAACGUGUUGUGGACUACGUCAGCUUUUUUUUUCAACAUUGAGAUCACGUAGGACCUUCAGCACUAUGUAUAUACAGAGGAGAAAGAGAAAGAGUGAAAGAUACAGACAAACAAAAAAAUUUACAAGACCAUCUCAUCUCACAAUUUUCCAUUGUACGACUGGUGAAGGUAGAAUGUAUCUCUUUAAUGUAUCUCUUUAAAAAUUAGAAGAAAUGCCGACAAACUAAUGACUAAAGCUAUGUACCUUGUAGGAGGAUGUCAUCUCUGUGUGGUAAUACUCAGUCUUAUGGUAGACAUGGAGUUCUGAGACUUAAAUGUCAACUUGUCGAACAGUGUUUCCCAAACUGUGUUCCACAGAACCCUAGUGUUCCGCGAGGCCUGAUAAGGUGUUCCACGAACUGCAGGAAUAAUUAACUUGGAGGCCACGACGUGAAUUAAUCUCUAUAAAAAAAAUAAGCAAGGUGUUCCUCUAACUACUCAGACUAUGCAAAGUGUUCUGUUAAGAAAAUGUUUGGGAAGCACUGUUGUAGAGGUUCUAUUUAUUAACAAGAAUUGGUUCUUGUCUAUUUGUGUCAUAGUUGUCUAAAGUUGUGGUGUGUCUGUGAUUCCCUCUAAUAUAGGAUCUCCAUUGGAUUGUGUCAAAUCUAGAAGCUCAAAACCAUUGUAGUUCUAGUGGCACUACAGAUAUUUAUUGUUUUUAUUUUACUUGUUCAUUGUUCAUUUUAUUACUUGUUACAAGUGAUGAGAUUAACGACAUAAACAAUUUCUUUAGUUAUUACAAAUUAACAACCAAAUAAAGAAAAAAAACAAUGCUAAAUAACCCCUCCCCCCCCCCCCCC